rnacentral:rRNA from 1 species
GACGAACGCUGGCGGCGUGCUUAACACAUGCCAGUCGAACGGAAAGGCCCUGCUUUUGUGGGGUGCUCGAGUGGCGAACGGGUGAGUAACACGUGAGUAACCUGUCCUUGACUUUGGGAUAACUUCAGGAAACUGGGGCUAAUACCGGAUAGGAGCUCCUGCUGCAUGGUGGGGGUUGGAAAGUUUCGGCGGUUGGGGAUGGACUCGCGGCUUAUCAGCUUGUUGGUGGGGUAGUGGCUUACCAAGGCUUUGACGGGUAGCCGGCCUGAGAGGGUGACCGGCCACAUUGGGACUGAGAUACGGCCCAGACUCCUACGGGAGGCAGCAGUGGGGAAUAUUGCACAAUGGGCGGAAGCCUGAUGCAGCAACGCCGCGUGCGGGAUGACGGCCUUCGGGUUGUAAACCGCUUUCGCCUGUGACGAAGCGUGAGUGACGGUAAUGGGUAAAGAAGCACCGGCUAACUACGUG